rnacentral:tRNA from 1 species
AGAGGGUUAGCUUACUUUUAAAGCAGGGUAUUGAAGCUACCCUAGACGGGCUUGAACCCACCCCCUA